GGAGAGAUGGCUCAACAGUUAAGAGCACUUUUUCUUGCAGAGAGAAAAACUGGGGUUUGAAUCCCAUCACUCCC
rnacentral:tRNA from 1 species